rnacentral:misc_RNA from 1 species
CCUUCAGCUCAGCAAAUGCUUCUGGGUCAUCAGCCAAGCCCAAUGGGUCAAAGCUCCCACCUGGGUAGAUUGGGUCUGUGACCUCACCGAGCGGUCCACCGGCAAUUCUAUAACCCUCAACAGCACCCAUCAACACAACCUGGACUGCCCAGAUGGCCAAGAUGCUUUGUGCAUGGAUCAAGCUUGGGUUGCCUAAGUAGUCAAGACCACCCUCGCUGAAGAUCUGGGCUCCUGCCUUGAACCACACUGCCUCGCCGAACUUGACUCCGUUGCGGGCCAAGAGCUCGGGGAAGACGCACCCAAGGGCUCCAAGCAUGGCCCAUCUGCAGUGGAUCACUUCGAGCUCACGGUUCUUGGCAAAGGUUUCUGGGUCAGCAGAGAGACCAGCAGUGUCCCAGCCAUAGUCACCAGGGAAUUCACCAGUCAGGUAGGAUGGGGGCUCACCGGACAAUGGACCCAAGUACAAAACACGGUCUGGGCCGUACCAUGGGCUUCCAGAGGAAACAGGCCUACCGGCACUUUUCCUCAUGGAUACACGGCCAUUGCCCAUGAGCUCAGGGGC